rnacentral:piRNA from 1 species
AAAUAAGAAUCGAGAGUGUGUGCA